UACGAAGGGGGCUAGCGUUGCUCGGAAUCACUGGGCGUAAAGGGCGCGUAGGCGGACCUUUAAGUCAGGGGUGAAAGCCUGUGGCUCAACCACAGAAUUGCCUUUGAUACUGAGGGUCUCGAGACCGGAAGAGGUUGGUGGAACUGCGAGUGUAGAGGUGAAAUUCGUAGAUAUUCGCAAGAACACCAGUGGCGAAGGCGGCCAACUGGUCCGGUUCUGACGCUGAGGCGCGAAAGCGUGGGGAGCAAACAGGAUUAGAUACCCUGGUAGUCCACGCCGUAAACGAUGGAUGCCAGCCGUUGGCGAGCUUGCUCGUCAGUGGCGCAGCUAACGCUUUAAGCAUCCCGCCUGGGGAGUACGGUCGCAAGAUUAAAACUUAAAUGAAUUGACGG
rnacentral:rRNA from 1 species